GACGAACGCUGGCGGCGUGCUUAACACAUGCAAGUCGAACGGUGAAGCGCCUUCCUUUUUGGUGGGUGUGGAUGAGUGGCGAACGGGUGAGUAACACGUGAGUAACCUGCCCCCUUCUUCUGGAUAACCGCAUGAAAGUGUGGCUAAUACGGGAUAUUCUGGGUCUGUCGCAUGAUGGGUCUGGGAAAGAUAUUGUUUCGGUGGGGGAUGGGCUCGCGGCCUAUCAGCUUGUUGGUGGGGUGAUGGCCUACCAAGGCGGUGACGGGUAGCCGGCCUGAGAGGGUUGACGGUCACACUGGGACUGAGACACGGCCCAGACUCCUACGGGAGGCAGCAGUGGGGAAUAUUGCACAAUGGGCGCAAGGCUGAUGCAGCGACGCCGCGUGAGGGAUGGAGGCCUUCGGGUUGUGAACCUCUUUCGCCAGUGAAGCAGGCCUGCCUCGUUUGUGGGUGGGUUGACGGUAGCUGGAUAAGAAGCGCCGGCUAACUACGUG
rnacentral:rRNA from 1 species